rnacentral:rRNA from 1 species
AUGCACGCUGGCGGCGUGCCUAAUACCUGCAAGUCGCGCGAACAGACGAGGAGCUUGCUCCUCUGACGUUAGCGGCGGACGGGUGAGUAACACGUGGAUAACCGACCUAUAAGACUGGGAUAACUUCGGGAAACCGGAGCUAAUACCGGAUAAUAUAUUGAACCGCAUGGUUCAAUAGUGAAAGACGGUUUUGCUGUCACUUAUAGAUGGAUCCGCGCCGCAUUAGCUAGUUGGUAAGGUAACGGCUUACCAAGGCAACGAUGCGUAGCCGACCUGAGAGGGUGAUCGGCCACACUGGAACUGAGACACGGUCCAGACUCCUACGGGAGGCAGCAGUAGGGAAUCUUCCGCAGUGGGCGAAAGCCUGACGGAGCAACGCCGCGUGAGUGAUGAAGGUCUUCGGAUCGUAAAACUCUGUUAUUAGGGAAGAACAAAUGUGUAAGUAACUAUGCACGUCUUGACGGUACCUAAUCAGAAAGCCACGGCUAACUACGUG